ACUGAGCCGGGCCAAGGAUUGAAUCUACAUCCUCAUGAUACUAGUUGGGUUUGUAACCUGCUGAGGUACAAUGGGAACUCCAAUGCCAGAUCCUUUAACCCACUGCACUGGGACAGGGAUUGAAUCCACACCUCCCAAGCUGCUGCAGUCAAAUUCUUAAUCCACUGCACCACGGCAGGAAAUCUGAGACUUUUGAUUUCAUAAAAUCUUUUGUAUUUCUCCUGUCCAUUAUGCCUAGCAGAGGGUCUGGACUGAAUUCUGUCCAUAUUAGGGAUAACAACAACCACAGGAGAUCAGGCUCUUAAUACACUAAUCUCUGUGUACUCCUGGCUCACAUUUCCUAACUGGUGAUUUGGUGCUAAUUGCUAAUCCUGUGUGAACCUCAGCUUUCUUGGUUAUUUUGUGACAGUUUAAUAACCAACUUACUAGAUUGUUGGGACAACUAAAGGAGUUUAUAUAACUACUGAUAGGUGCUCAGUACAUGGUAAUUCUCAUUAUUAAUAUUUGUGUGUUGUAGUAUUAGAUUUUUUUUCUUUUUUGGCCACCCUGCAGCAUUUCUUUUUUGACCUAUGCCACAACUGUGGCAAUGCCAGAUCCCUUAACCCACCGUGCCUGACUGGGGUUGAAUCUGUGUCCUGGCACUGCAGAGAUGCCACAGAUCCCGUUGUGCCACAGCAGGAACUCCUUAGAUGGUUUUCAAUGUCUGUCAUGUUUCAUCUGCAGAGAGAUAUUUAAUGAUUGAGGAAAAAUGUCUGCUGCUUAAUGAUUGAUGUUGCAAAUCAGUUACCCAGACCUCCCAGCAUACAAAGAGAAAUUGAGAUCAACCUCUUAAUUUACUCAAAAUCUUCUCUGGAGUGAUCCAAGCAAAUGAAAUGUUUUGAAAACUCUCACUAUCAGAGUCACAGGAUGGCAGCCCUCGGUCUGACUCAGGUAACUCAGGGUGCUUCGUCAUGUUAUGGAGACAGUGUGUUUGUGGUGUGCUCUGUGCAUAGCGUGGAACAGUUUACAGGCCUCUGAUUGUUGGAAGCAGACAGGCUUCAGAGCUCAUGCCAUUCUUCUUCUCCCUGAGGUCAUCUUUCUUUGGACUUUUCUUGUCUUCAUGAGAGGAAAACCCAGGAGACACAGAUGGUGGCUGGGUCACCGAUGGAAUCUUCUCAGAAUUGGAUUUGCAGCCUAAAACCUAAAGUCAUACACCUCUUCAGGAUGUUUCUCUGGAAAAAUCAUCAAACAGAAUUCAAUUGGUAAGAUCUCCAAGAAGUAAUUUUUCCCCUCCUGACCAGGACCAGAAGCACCAAAUCCAUGAGAAUCAUACCAGAUAAAUAUCAUUUACUCAAAGGGAGUAGCGUCAAUGAAGAGAUUCUCUGAAUAUCAAGUAUUUUUUUUUUUUUUUGGUCUUUUUGAGGGCCGCUCCCAUGGCAUAUGGAGAUUCCCAGGCUAGGGGUCGAAUCAGAGCUGGAGCCACCGGCCUAUGCCAGAGCCACAGCAAUGCAAGAUCCGCGCCGCGUCUGCAACCUACAUGAGGGGUCGAAUCAGAGCUGUAGCCACCGGCCUAUGCCAGAGCCACAGCAAUGCAAGAUCCGCGCCGCAUCUGCAACCUACAUGACAGCUCACAGCAAUGCCAGAUCCUUAACUCACUGAGUGAGGCCAGGGAUCGAACCCCAAACCUCAUGGUUCCUAGUCUGAUUCGUUAACCACUGAACCAUGACGGGAACUCCUGAAUAUCAAGAAUUUGAGGAGUAUUCCAACUUACUUCCAGCCUGUUUCUUCUCAGAGAUCUCACAUGUAAAUAUCCACAUAUGUAUAACUUUUUUUUUUGCCUUUUUUUUUAGGGCUACACCCGCAGCAUAUGGAAGUUCCCAGGUCCAAUUGGAGCUGCAGCUCNNNNNNNNNNNNNNNNNNNNNNNNNNNNGUUCCUAGUCGGAUUCGUUAACCACUGCGCCACGACGGGAACUCCAUUUUUUUGCCUUUUUUUUAGGGCUACACCCGCAGCAUAUGGAAGUUCCCAGGUCCAAUUGGAGCUGCAGCUGCUGGUCUAGACCACAGCCACAGUAAUGUGGGAUUCUUAACCCACUGAUCCAGGCCAGGGAUUGAACCUGCAUCCUUACAGAUACUAGUUGGGUUCAUUACCACUGAGCAACAACAGGAACCACACACACACAUAUAUAUUUAAAUCUGAUAUCCAGUUUUUGAAACACAAUUUAACCUAAAUAAUGAUCAGAAAUACUAAGGUGCUUUGUGAAAAUAGAGAAUAUAAUGCUGGGUCCUGGCCUCAUUGGUUAUUCAACUUAAAAUUUCUCAAAAACAGAGCAGAAACUCUAUACACUUAAUGGAAAUGGGAACGGUUUUAUUACGAUGAUGUUUCCAAUGCAUAAACAUUGUGAAGGGGAGGGGAGAAAUCCUGUUAUUAUAAUGAAUAUGAAAAUCUCCUCAGUUAUUACUUAUACCUUAAUCAGCAGGAGAGAAGCAAUGCUGGAUGAAAACAAUUUGGCUCUAACCUAUGUGGAAAAAUAUGACACACAUGAGGACUCACAUUAGACAGAAAACUUCUAAGGAUAAUCAUAGUAGGAAAACCUUAGAAAAUAAUUUUUUUUUUGUCUCUUUGCCAUUUCUUGGGCCGCUCCCGCAGCAUAUGGAGGUUCCCAGGCUAGGGAUCUAAUCGGAGCUGUAGCCAUGGGCCUACGCCAGAGCCACAGCAACGCGGGAUCCAAGCCACGUCUGCAACCUACACCACAGCUCAUGGCAACGCCGGAUCAUCAACCCACUGAGCAAGGGCAGGAAUCGAACCUUCAGCCUCAUGGUUCCUAGUUGGAUUCGUUAACCACUGCGCCACAACAGGAACUCCAGAAAAUAAUUUUAUUAAUACUUUGCUCAAGGAACUCAGUGUUGUGGAGAAAACCUCUUAGUGCGUCCAACAUGAAAAAGUCUCUGGUCAGCUUUCAAAUCUCACUGGGCACCAAAAAACUCUGAAACAAGGGAAAUUGUUUUAAUGCCAAGAGUGUUGGAGAACUUUUGUUAAUCAGUCAUCCCUUAAGGUACAUAGGAGAUACCACACUGGGGAAAAGCUCUAUGUGUGUAGAGAAUUGUCGGGAGCCAUAAGGCUGCUCCAGUAAAGAAAGCAAAGCCACAGUCAGCACCUGCAUGAAGCUUGUCUGGUUAGCAGAGCUACAGACAAGCUGAAGAAAGAAGGAUUGCAGAGCAAUCCCUUGAAAGACAUCGGCUCCAGGAAAAUAAAAAUGAUAUCCCCUAAAAAAUAUGUUAAUCUAUUUUUCUGUGUUUAUCCUUCUUUUUCUAUCUC
ensembl:lncRNA